UACAGAGGGUGCGAGCGUUGUCCGGAAUCACUGGGCGUAAAGGGCGCGUAGGCGGCUUGAUAAGGUUGCGGUGAAAGCCCGGGGCUCAACCCCGGGUCGGCCGUGGCAACUGUCGAGCUGGAGCACUGUAGAGGCAGGUGGAAUUCCGGGUGUAGCGGUGGAAUGCGUAGAGAUCCGGAAGAACACCGGUGGCGAAGGCGGCCGCUGGGCAGUGGCUGACGCUGAGGCGCGACAGCGUGGGGAGC
rnacentral:rRNA from 1 species